rnacentral:rRNA from 1 species
CAGGUCACUCCUACGGGAGGCAGCAGCUAGGAAUCUUGCGCAAUGGGCGAAAGCCUGACGCAGCGACGCCGCGUGGGGGAGGAAGGUCUUCGGAUUGUAAACCCCUUUUGUCGGGGACGAGCAAGGACGGUACCCGACGAAGAAGCCCCGGCUAACUACGUGCCAGCAGCCGCGGUAAGACGUAGGGGGCUAGCGUUGUUCGGAUUUACUGGGCGUAAAGCGUGCGCAGGCGGUUCGCUAAGACCGAUAUGAAAUCCCCGGGCUUAACCUGGGAACUGCAUUGGUGACUGGCGGGCUAGAGUAUGGCAGAGGGGGGUAGAAUUCCACGUGUAGCAGUGAAAUGCGUAGAGAUGUGGAGGAACACCGGUGGCGAAGGCGGUUCUCUGGGCAUUACCUGACGCUGAGGAGCGAAAGUGUGGGGAGCGAACAGGAUUAGAUACCCUGGUAGUCCACACCGUAAACGUUGGGCGCUAGGUGUGGGACUCAUUCCACGAGUUCCGUGCCGCAGCUAACGCGUUAAGCAGUCCGCCUGGGGAGUACGGUCGCAAGGCUGAAACUUAAAGGAAUUGACG